GAGGGUAUAGCUCAGGCGUAGAGCACAUGCUUAGCAUGCAUGAGUUCCUGGGUUCAAUCCCCAGUACUUCCA
rfam:Camelus ferus unplaced genomic scaffold scaffold667, whole genome shotgun sequence.